CCUACGGGAGGCAGCAGUGGGGAAUAUUGGGCAAUGGGCGCAAGCCUGACCCAGCAACGCAGCGUGAAGGAAGAAGGCUUUCGGGUUUUAAACUUCCUUUUUCAUGGACGAAACAAGUGACGUUACCUGACGAAUAAGCCACGGCUAACUACGUGCCAGCAGCCGCGGUAAUCCGGAGGUGGCAAGCGUGAUCCGGAUUUACUGGGUGUAAAGGGCGUGUAGGCGGGACUGCAAGUCAGAUGUGAAAACCACGGGCUCAACCUGGGGCCUGCAUUUGAAACUGUAGUUCUUGAGUACUGGAGAGGCAGACGGAAUUCCUGGUGUAGCGGUGAAAUGCGUAGAUAUUAGGAGGAACACCAGUGGCGAAGGCGGUCUGCUGGACAGCAACUGACGCUGAGGCGCGAAAGCGUGGGGAGCAAACAGGAUUAGAUACCCUAGUAGUC
rnacentral:rRNA from 1 species